UGGGUUGUAGGUAGUGGUAGGGAUCAUCGAUGGUGAUGGAAGAUGAUGGAGAUCUUUGACGAUGGUGGGCUACGAUGGAAGUCAUUUGCAAUUGCUUUAAAAAAUUUAUUUCUUUCUCCAAGAAAGUAAUUAUCUCUAAAAAAUAUUUUCAAUUCAUGCAUGUGCAUGGAUGGUGUAUAACAUGUUUAUCACUUGUUAUAAUAUAUGCAUCAUAUGUGAUGGAGAUCAUCCA
rnacentral:lncRNA from 1 species